CAAAAGAGAUUGGAGAUAUUGACCUUUUCAGAGGGUUUUCCUCUAGUUGAUCAAAAUGCACGUUGGAUUGUCUAAAGGCUUCUGUUUGAUGAGACAUUCGUGGGGAGGCUACUUUUGAAGAUUUUGUACUUUUUUUCUUUUUCUUGUGUUUUUUUGGUGAUUGGAAGGUUUCUGGUUUAUGAAGGGAAAAAUAUUGUUGGUGAUCUUUAAGUUUAGAUGGGCUAGAGAUAUGAUCAUCAAUUGACAAUUCAGUGAUUUUUGCAGGAUAAACUUGGGAUUUACGAGAGACGAUACCUUUAGAAGAAGAGCUGACAAGAGAAGGCCUUCCUUCGUUCACAACUUGAUCGAUUCUCUGAAUUGUUUGGAGCCAUGAUUCCCGUUGAGAUAUUUUCUUCCACCAUUUU
rnacentral:lncRNA from 1 species